UUUUAAUAUUCAUCCUAACAAGCAUUUCUAUAGAGUGAGUGCUUCUCUCAUCCGUACAAAGGCAUUCCAAAGGGAUAUUAUGUAAAACUUCAUAGAAGACAGAUUGCAUAAAAUAUAAGCAAAUGUAAGAGAAGUACAUGUUACACAAAUUAAGGGUUUAACCUUAAUCUCUAAUUUAAGUUUUAGCCUAGGUAAUUAAUUAAUGAUGUAUUGAUCCUUGUGUUUGUAUGAUUGUAGAGACCGUCCUGGAGUGUUUGUGCCGCCUGAUUUCUGGGACUACACAUCAAUCUCUCCGGCUGACCAUGCAAUAAGUAUUUUGCAAUUACAUCUGUUUGGUCAUUAUCCAUGCAGGCCGAAGAAACUGAGAUACUUAUGAGGACAUAAACUUUGCACGCAAGAACCUGGAAAGUCCUGAAGGUGCAGUGCUGUCUAAUACCGCUGGUUCUGUAAUAACCCUUUCAACCAUUG
rnacentral:lncRNA from 1 species